UACGUAGGGGGCAAGCGUUGUCCGGAUUUAUUGGGCGUAAAGAGCGUGUAGGCGGUUUGGUAGGUCCGUUGUGGAAACUCGAGGCUCAACCUCGAGACGCCGGCGGAAACCAUCAGGCUAGAGUCCGGAAGAGGAGAGUGGAAUUCCUGGUGUAGCGGUGAAAUGCGCAGAUAUCAGGAAGAACACCCGUGGCUAAGGCGGCUCUCUAGUACGGUACUGACGCUGAGACGCGAAAGCGUGGGGAGCGAACAGG
rnacentral:rRNA from 1 species